rnacentral:tRNA from 1 species
GGUAAGGUGGCUGAGACUUUAGGCACUAGAUUGUAAAUCUAGAUAGGAGGGGUAACCUCUCUUACC